GAUGGACACCUGACGAGCGUGAUCGUAAUCGGAAUUCAGAAUGGCUGAUCGCUGAUCGGUGAUCGCUCAUGCGCUCUUCUCCACUUCUAGCUAGGUUCUAGCAGCUUUCUUUCUUUAGGAAGAAGAAUGGGAUUGAGGUGCGAAGCCAGGAUUUGAGCAUAGGAGGUGCCAGCCAACAACAAUCAUAUGUGAUAAAAUGCUUAUACGUUAAUAGCAUAGAUAAUAUCCAAAUAAAAGUUUAUGUUACUUAUAUACAUAAACGCUAAAAAAUGGUGAAAAAGAGAACAAAGUUUAAUUUGCACUAGGUCUUUAACUUCCACUACAUCUUAGACAAAAAAAUAUCACGGUAAUAACACAUAGCAGAUAGAAAGACAACAUAAAAACUAGUCCUAAAUACUCCCUCUAUUCUAAUUUAUAAGUCAUUCUAAGAAUUUUGGAGAGUCAAAACAUUUCAAAUUUGAUCAAUAUUAUAGAAAAAAUAGAAAGGUUUCAUGACAUCAAAUAGAUAUUACUAUGAAAAUAUAACUAAUGAAGAACCUAACGAUACCUAGAUGGUAUCAUAAAUGUUAUUAUGUUAUCAUAUAAAUUUGGUCAAACUUAAAAUGCUUGACUCUCUAAGAUUUUUGGAAUGACUUAUAAUUUGGGAUGAAGGGAGUAAUAUAGAUCAAUAUGAAUUGAGAAUAAACAAGCAAAACACUGAUUAUAUUUGUUAACAAGCAAUUAAAGCACUAAUUAGUAUCAUUAUCUUGCUAAUUGAAUGAUUAGGCCUUGUUUAGUUCCAAAUUUUUUUGAGAAAUCGACACUGUAGCACUUUCGUUUGUAUUUGAUAAAUAUUGUCCAAUCAUAGACUAACUAGGUUUAAAAGAUUCACCUCGUAAAUUCCGACCAAACUGUGCAAUUAGUUUUUGUUUUUAUCUAUAUUUAAUACUCUAUAUAUGUGUCUAAAGAUUCGAUGUGACGGAGAAUCUGAAAAAUUUUGAGGGAGCAUUGUGGAGGCGCGAACAUGUUGUGGGGUGUCAAGCCCCCCUUCGCCCCGGGGGUGCUACAGUCCGAGCGUUCGGACCACAACCUCGGUCCGAUGACCAACGCUAGUUUCCCGCCAAUCAGACGCCCCACCCGCGGAAGCAUGCAGCUAGCGUACAGCUUAGGGGGCCACCUCUUAUUCAUAACUUUCAAUCUACUAAAAAAGUCAUAACCGCUAAACUAAAUAGCCAAAUUAAAAUCUGAUUAUACUAUCGGAUUUCUUACAAUAAAUUCUUUAAAACAAGAUCUCACAUGUAUAUAUUUAGAUAAAAUUUUAUUAACGAAUAUUUAUCUUAUAAAGAUAGAACAUUUUUCUAUUGAACAGAGGCAUGUUCUACGUUCAUAGAACAAUGUUCCAUCUUUGUAAGAAUAAUGUUCCCAGUUUAAAAGAACAAUAUUCUAGUUUUAGAUUUAUAAAAUUAAUAUUAUAAUAUAUAUAUAUAUAUGAAUAAAUAAAUAAAUAAAUAACAUAAAUAAAAAUAAUAAAAUCUAGAGUAAAGCAUAGGGGGAAAACAUUUAAUAGAGAAUUUUUAAAAAAACAUCACAUGGUACUUUUCAAACAUCCUAAAAUAUAUUAUAGAACAUCACAAGCAUACUAAACGAGCAUCGCUAAAUACACCAUAGAACAUCAUUGAAUACACUAUAAAACAUCGCAGUAUACUACGCGAACAUCACUAAAAACAUUAUAUAUAUCCAUACGUGUACUAAGUGAAUAUCAACAAACACACAAUAGAAUAUCACUAAGUAUAUUAUAGAGCAUCGCAUAUAUAUUACGCGAACAUCACUAAAUACAUUAUAGAACAUCAUCUGUAUAUUACACGAACAUCGAAAAAACAUCAUCAUGUAUAAUAUAUGAACAUAGCAUCUCAUAAAAUACCACUUAUAUACCACGAGAGCGUCACAAAGUAUAUCACAAAACAUAAAAUAAUUAAGUAUAGUAAAAACAAAAAAUAUAAAAAAGUUAAAAAUAUAAUAGUAAAAAAUUAAAAAGAAUAUCAUAAGGAUAUUUUUCAAACAUACUAAAUUAGACUAUAGAACAUCACUGAAUACACCAUAGAACAUCACUAAAUAUAUUAUAGAACAUCACUAAAUAUAUUAUAGAACAUCACUAAAUAUAUUAUAGAACAUCGCAUAUAUAUUACGUGAACAUCACAAAAUUAGUCAUAGAACAUCAUAUGUAUACUGUGUAAACAUAAAAAAAAUAUUGUAGAACAUCACAUUAUACUACGAAAACAUUAAAAAGUAUCACAGAAAUCACAUGUAUAACACAUAAACAUUAAAAAAUCAUAAAAUAUCAAAUAUAUACUACAUGAAUAUUAAAAACAUUAAAGAAAAAAUAAAAAAGAAAAGCAAAGAAAAUAAAAUAAAAUAAAAGAGAAACAUAAAAAUAUUAAUAAAAAUCACAUGAAAACAAAAAAUAUAAAUAAAAAAUAAAGUACCAAAAAGAAAAGAUAGAAAAGAAAAAAGAAAUGAGAAGAAUAAGAAAAAAAGAAACUAACAUACUCCUACGUGAAGGUAGACGCAAAAAUAAAAAGAAAUAUAAAUAAAAAAUAAGCACAAAAAUAAAAAAUAAAAAAUAAAAGAAAAGAAUGGAAAAUGGAAAAAUAGAAACAAAAAAAUAAGAUAAGAAAAACAAAUGAUAAAUAAAUGAAAAUAAAAAUAAAACAUACUUACUUACCUACAGCGCACGUAGUAGGAGGAAGAAAACGAGAAAAUAAAAUAAAAUAAAAAAGAAAAUAUACGUACAUCCUAAGAAAAUCCUGCAAUGGUGCAGCAGGUCUCAUCCACAUCUAUCGCGUGAAAAGCUAACGUCUGGAACCAUCAUGAUGCCUGGGAAACCAUCGGCCUCCGAGCGGGAAACAGCGGCGUCUGCGAGAACAAAAGAAACAGUCAGGCCCACAGCGCGCCAUAAAAUAAAACAUCCGACGGGGUGGGAAACAUGGGCGGAAAACGGGGGCGGGAAACCAUCGGACCGAGGCUCCCGUCCGAAUGUUCGGACCGGAAGAUUUCCGCUCCGCCCCUCCCUCCCUUUUGCCAUUGAUGGGAUUGACCUACGAUAUUUUUUAAGCGAUGAUUGGCUUACCCAUUAGCCAGGUCAUUGCAACACACCGGAGCCCACAAGCGACCCGUAUCAAAAGAAAAAUACUAUUUUAUUAGAAAACUUUUUAAACUAUUGAUGUAAUAUGUUUCUUAUUUUCAAAGUCUAAAAUCAGACAUAUUACCCUUAAUAGACUCUCAAAAUCAUUAAAAUUACUUUCCUAUCUUGCUUUGAAGUGAUUGUGAAGACAAGUUUAUUAGUUCCUGAGUUAAAAUUUUUGGUAAAUAUUCGGUAAGGUUUUUAAGCCAUAAAAAUAUCUAGAAGUUUCUAAAAACUAUUAUACAAAUCCUACAGAUAGAUUGGAAUAUGAAAAUACAACUAAAAUAUUUAGAUAUUGUUAAAAUAUCUAUAGAAUGUUGCAGAAAUUAGAUCUAUCUAUAGAUAAACGGGAAAAGUAUUAAAAAAAUCUGAAUUGCCAAAAUAUUCUAAUUGAUGUCUAAAUACAUUUAAAAAAAACUCCAC
rnacentral:lncRNA from 1 species